AUUGAACGCUGGCGGCAUGCCUUACACAUGCAAGUCGAACGGUAACAGGUCUUCGGAUGCUGACGAGUGGCGAACGGGUGGGUAAUACAUCGGAACGUGCCUAGUAGUGGGGGAUAACUACUCGAAAGAGUGGCUAAUACCGCAUGAGAUCUACGGAUGAAAGCAGGGGAUCGCAAGACCUUGUGCUACUAGAGCGGCCGAUGGCAGAUUAGGGAGUUGGUGGGAUGAAAGCUUACCAAGCCGACGAUCUGUAGCUGGUCUGAGAGGACGAUCAGCCACACUGGGACUGAGACACGGCCCAGACUCCUACGGGAGGCAGCAGUGGGGAAUUUUGGACAAUGGGCGCAAGCCUGAUCCAGCAAUGCCGCGUGCAGGAUGAAGGCCUUCGGGCUGUAAACUGCUUUUGUACGGAACGAAAAGCCCCGGGUUAAUACCCUGGGGUCAUGACGGUACCGUAAGAAUAAGCACCGGCUAACUACGUGCCAGCCGCCGCCGUAA
rnacentral:rRNA from 1 species